rnacentral:lncRNA from 1 species
UUUUUAUGAAUGAAAUUAUCGGCGAUGACCGCAUAAUGUGUUAUACAUGAGCAGAUAAUAUUGUAGAUGUUCUAGAUGCAUGAUAGAUUGUGAGAUGAUAGGGAGAGAUUUGAGUUUCUUUAAAAAGUUCUUUUGGCAUAGACUUUUCAAACAAAGUAAUAGUAGUUGUUUUAUUUCCUUAGUCGUCGUGAUUACUUUUGGAAUAAUG